rnacentral:lncRNA from 1 species
CGACAGUGGUUGGAAACACGGAAACUUUUUGCAGAAACAGAUCUUUCAUUUAACCCAAAAGAACAACUCCUUCGACUUAACCACCACACAACUGGUCGGUGUUCCAUCACAAUAUCUCAACACUGCCAUAUAUUUUAGAGUACUGGAAAAUCAAGCAAAUUUCCUUAAGGAAAUCUUAGUAGCGAGACAUCCAUACUGUUAAAUCACCUGCUAAUAUUUCUGUAACAUCCUAGAAUUUUUUUUCUUUAAAUACUGCCUAAAUUUAUUCUGGCUUUCUUUGAAUUUGUAAGAAUGGACAUAAAAUAUUUUCUUGGGAUUUAUUGCAGAAUAAUAGCUUGGCCUUUUGGGAAUAGGAAUCAAUAGACCACCAUCAUAAAGGAACUUAUGUUUGAAAACUUUCUUGAAUAAUAAUAGCUUGAGGAUAAUCCUUUUU